CAGCCGCCGCGGUAAUACGUAGGUCCCGAGCGUUGUCCGGAUUUAUUGGGCGUAAAGCGAGCGCAGGCGGUUAGAUAAGUCUGAAGUUAAAGGCUGUGGCUUAACCAUAGUACGCUUUGGAAACUGUUUAACUUGAGUGCAAGAGGGGAGAGUGGAAUUCCAUGUGUAGCGGUGAAAUGCGUAGAUAUAUGGAGGAACACCGGUGGCGAAAGCGGCUCUCUGGCUUGUAACUGACGCUGAGGCUCGAAAGCGUGGGGAGCAAACAGGAUUAGAUUACCCCUGUAGUCCCUGUCUCUUAUAC
rnacentral:rRNA from 1 species